rnacentral:rRNA from 1 species
CGUAAACAGAGGGAAGCGAAAUGGCGACAUGGAGCGAACCCCAAAAAUAAACGUCCCAGUUCGGAUUGCAGGCUGCAACCCGCCUGCAUGAAGCCGGAAUCGCUAGUAAUCGCGGAUCAGCAUGCCGCGGUGAAUACGUUCCCGGGCCUUGUACACACCGCCCGUCACACCAUGAGAGUCGGGAACACCCGAAGUCCGUAGCCUAACCGCAAGGGGGGCGCGGCCGAAGGUGGGUUCGAUAAUUGGGGUGAAGUCGUAACAAGGUACC